rnacentral:rRNA from 1 species
GCUCAUGGCGAUAGCACGUUAAGUGGACAAGUUACCAUGGGAUCACUGGAGUCAGGCAACGUUACACCUGGUUGGUAUCCGGAUGGGUGACCAUCUGGGAAGUCGCGUUCUACUGGCU